rnacentral:rRNA from 1 species
AUUGAACGCUGGCGGCAGGCCUAACACAUGCAAGUCGAGCGAGCGGCGGACGGGUGAGUAAUGUCUGGGAAACUGCCUGAUGGAGGGGGAUAACUCCUGGAAACGGUAGCUAAUACCGCAUACCAUCAGAUGUGCCCAGAUGGGAUUAGCUAGUAGGUGGGGUAACGGCUCACCUAGGCGACGAUCCCUAGCUGGUCUGAGAGGAUGACCAGCCACACUGGAACAGUGACACGGUCAGGACUCCGACGGGAGACAGCAGUGGGAAAUAGUGCACAAUGGGCGCAGGCCUGAUGCAGCCAUGCAGCGUGUGUGAAUAAGGCCUUCAGGUUGUAAAGCACGUUCAGCGGGGAGGCGUUACCCGCAGAAGAAGCAACGGCUAACUCCGUGCCAGCAGCCGCGGUAAUAC